CACAAGACAUGAAGAAAGAACCAAAGAGUUCUCAAAGUUUGGUACCCUCGGCUGGUAAAAACCAUAAGACAUGAAUGACUGACCUUGCGGCUUAAUGAUUCAUAAGACAAAGGAGUUAAAAGACAUUGGAAGGGUAGUGCAUGCAUGUAAGGAAAUGAGUUGCGAUAUGUUGGAUGGAGCGGACUAAAUAAAUCUUAAGACAAGAUUGUGACUUGUUUGAUGGUAAAAAUUACCAGAACUUGGACCAACAUAUGGCUUAAAGAAGGUAUGUGCUUCUCAAGUCACGGUGUUCAGAUUGUCAAGACUUUUGAUAGCAACAGGUAGAAAGUCGGGGUGAACAAGCCCGAUACUAGAACAAUACAAAGACCGUAAUAAAGAGUUAGAUAGAUGGGGGGGGGGGGCGAGGAUGGAGGUCCGAAACCACAGCAAAAGCAUGUCCUGAAGCUUCGGGUUGCAAUGUCUUGCAGAACAGGUGUUUCGAAUGCGACGAUCGAGCUGAGCGAAAAGUCCUUCAACCGGGGUGCGGAUACCAGUGAAUUGCGGGCAUUUCUCUCAUGGCAGAUUGAGUAGAUCACCGCUUGAGCUGCGAUUAGCUUUAGGGGGUUCAUCUUCUCUUCAGUAAAAGGAGUCUUGAGCCAAAGGAGGAAACGCUCCCAAGUGUUGAAGCCUAUGAAAGGUAUCUGUAAUCUAGCAAGGCACCAUCUCCACAAGUCGAAACUGUAAGGACAUCUCAGGAAAAGAUGGUCCCUUGUCUCAAAGUAAAUUUCAUAAAGAUGGCAGGUAUCAUCUUCUACUAUUCCCCAGUUCCUCAGUCUAGAUAGAGUAGGCAUACGAUCUGGUCAACAAAGCCACAUAAUGAAUGACUGUUUUGGGAUAGAACCUGUGAACCGGACUUUUGGAGAGAUACUUGCUAGAUAAGAACUGUAAACAUCUACAUGGUGUAAAAGAAAAAUUCUGCAUUCACAUAUAUUUGGGCUUUCAGGUGUUUGUGAAUAUCAAACUAAUUAAAUAAUUAUAUAUUAUUAUAAUGCAAAAUUUUACUAAAAUAUACAAGUCUAAAAUAUAUUAA